AAUCCCUAUGAUGAUUGAGUUUUUCGGCAUAAAAGUAGUGGACUGACUUUUAUCUGAUGAAUCUAAGCUCCGAGGGAUG